UACGUAGGGUGCAGGCGUUAAUCGGAAUUACUGGGCGUAAAGCGUGCGCAGGCGGUUUGUUAAGACAGGUGUGAAAUCCCCGGGCUUAACCUGGGAACUGCGCUUGUUACUGGCAGACUUGAGUGUGGCAGAGGGGGGUGGAAUUCCAGGUGUAGCAGUGAAAUGCGUAGAUAUCAGGAGGAAUACCGAUGGCGAAGGCAGGUCUCUGGGCUGACACUGACGCUCAUGCACGAAAGCGUGGGGAGCAAACAGG
rnacentral:rRNA from 1 species